rnacentral:rRNA from 1 species
AUUGAACGCUGGCGGCAGUCCUAACACAUGCAAGUCGAGCGACGCGGCGGACGGGUGAGCAAUGCCUAGGAAUCUGCCUGGUAGUGGGGGAUAACGUCCGGAAACGGGCGAUAAUACCGCAUACUAUCAGAUGAGCAUAGGUCGGAUUAGCUAGUUGGGGGGGAAAAGGCCUACCAAGGAUACGAUCCGUAACUGGUCUGAGAGGAUGAUCAGUCACACUGGAAGUGAGAAACGGUCCAGACUCAGACGGGAGGCAGCAGUGGGGAAUAUUGGACAAGGGGCGAAAGCCAGAGCCAGCCAUGCCGAAUGGGUGAAGAAGGUCGUCGGAUUGUAAAGAACUUUAAGUUGGGAGGCGUUACUAACAGAUUAAGCAACGGCGAACUACGUGCCAGCCGCCGCGGUAAUUC